UUCUCAAUCUUUCCUUCCUAUGGUGAACACCGAAAAACUCUGGAUCUCAAACACCUUCUGCUUCCGUAAAAUGCUCCUCUAAAGCACCAUUGACGAGUGCCAAUCUUCAGGUCAAGCUCGCCGAAGAAGCGAAGUCAGAACACUUCCAAGCUCCCUCCUCGUUCCGCGACUUCAGCUUAGACUUUUCUCCGACCCCCUCUUCAGCUAAUUGUGCGGAAUUGGUGUAUGCCACCGGGAUAUUAAACCUCAAAAUCUAUUGGUCAAUCCCCAUACUCAUCAGCUGAAGAUAUGUGAUUUUGGAAGUGCAAAAAUGUUGGUGCCUGGUGAACCAAAUAUAUCUUAUAUAUGCUCUUGUUACUAUAGAGCUCUAGAGUUGAUAUUUGGGGCGACUGAGUAUACUACUGCAAUUGACAUGUGGUCUGUUGGUUGUGUAAUGGCUGAACUGCUUCUAGGACAGGUUCUAACACGAUUCCCAAGAAGAAGAAGCCAGUCAUUGCUGUGAAGAUGGUUUUUGAAUUGAAGACUACAAGGCCUAUCGUGCUCAUGUUUUGUUCUAGAUGGGAAUCGUGCUCAUAUUUUUGUAUAGAACUUUACUACUCUCUAUUGUGGAUGGGAAAUCACUAGUAUUGUAACUGAAUGGCUUAUUUUGGAUGGUGCAUGGUUUAUGACUCAUUUGAGGCAACAUUUAUAUAUAUAUGUAUUUGGGUUGAUCUUCUA